GCCCUGGUAGUCUAGUGGUUAAGAUUCAGUGUUCUCACCACUGUGGCCCAGGUUUGUUUCCCUGUCAGGGAA
rnacentral:tRNA from 1 species